rnacentral:rRNA from 1 species
UACGUAGGGUGCAAGCGUUGUCCGGAAUUAUUGGGCGUAAAGAGCUCGUAGGCGGUUUGUCGCGUCCGCUGUGAAAACUCAGGGCUUAACCCUGAGCCUGCAGUGGGUACGGGCAGACUAGAGUGUGGUAGGGGAGAUCGGAAUUCCUGGUGUAGCGGUGGAAUGCGCAGAUAUCAGGAGGAACACCGGUGGCGAAGGCGGAUCUCUGGGCCGACACUGACGCUGAGGCGCGAAAGCCAGGGGAGCGAGCGGG